UUAGUCAGCUUUUAUGUCGUUUGAAUACAUUUAUAUUUAACAUGUGAUAUAAAAAUAAUAUUAUGUUAAGAAGUAAUUGCUAUAGAGUAAAAUUUAAGUUAGCCAGAAUAACAGCAGAAUAUAGGUUACACAUACCAAAAAGCAAUUAAAACAACACUAGCCUAUAUGUCUGAAAAUAAUUUUAAUAAAAACUUAGCUAGAAUUAUAUCCAGUAGUUACAAACAAGUUUACUGUUCUAUAAAGGUCAUCUAAACAUAUAAAAAUAAUAUAUAUACACAAUAAUUUAAGAACAAUAACGUUACAUAAACUUAUUGAUGAGGAAAGGUCAAAGCUAUCUGUUGUAAUUUAUAUUAUGCUCCCUCAACCAGCUCUGAUUCUUUUUUAAUACUAUACUUGAAUUGAAUUGGAAAAGGAUGCAUUCUGAGCUGGAAUUUCUUAUCCUCGUCCUUUUCCUACUAUUCUCUCUAUUUUCACAGCUCUGGAGGUGUUAGGCACGCUCAUUCCCUCUUGUCUUCCUUAGACUCCUGACAGUAGUCUCACUCCUCCAGAAGCAGUAAUAGAAGGACGGGGCUUUCUUUGACCUGCAAUAUUUCUUUUUCUUUCUUUCUUUCCUUCUUUCUUUCUUUCUUUCUUUCUUUCUUUCUUUCUUUCUUUCUUUCUUUCUUUCUUUCUUUCUUUCCUUCUUUCUUUUCUUUUCUUUCUUUCUUUUUUUUUUUUUUUUUAACACAGAGUCUUGCUCUGUAGCCCAGGCUGGAGUGAAGUGGCAUGAUCUCAGCCCACCGCGCAAGCUCUGCCUCCCAGGUUCAAGUGAUUAUCCUGCCUCAGCCUCCCAGGUAGCUGGGAUUAUAGGCCUGUGACACCACGCCCAGCUAAUUUUUGUAUUUUUAGUAGAGAUGGGGUUUCCUCAUGUUGGCCAGGCUGAUCUCGAACUCCUGACCUCAAUUGAUCUGCCUGCCUCAGCCUCCCAAAGUGCUGGGAUUACAGGCAUGAGCCACCACACCGGGCCGGACUUGCAAUAUUUCUGACUGGCAAUGGUAUUUUUAGAAAUAUUCAAGUCUAUUAAUAUAAUUUCAGUUAGGAUUAACUUUAAAUUUGGUCACUUCUAUAGAUCCACAGUUAAAUCAAGAAUUGACUAUCUUUGAAACUGAGACAUUCUUGGGGGCUUUUGUUCAAUUUCUCCCCUAUGAUCACAUUUCUGAAUGGCAUGUACGCCAUUUAAGGACUACAGCUGUGCAAAAUAUGUUCACUUAGCUUCAGGACGUUUCUAUUUAUUUAGUUCUCAAUACUUCAGCCAAAUAUUUAUUUACAUUCCUUCAUUUUGCUUUAAAAAUAAGGUGUUAGAAACCAUUUAUGUUUUCAUUAGAACACUGCUAAAAAUUAAUCUAAAAUAUAUGAAAAUAGUUGAGGGUUCGUAUUUGAAUAGAAAAGACACAGUUUGACUUCGAACUCAGGUUCGCCUUCCUCUCUCACUCACACAAGUGUAAUGUGUCAGUGUUCAGAUCGAUAUCCUCACUAAUUCUUGACCUGGUGCAACGCUUCAAAGGUCUUAUUGAUUAACUAUUUUUGAAGGCUGGAAAGAAAAAAAGUGAAUAUAGUUUAAGACUUUUGAUGGAAAUUUUCCUUUAAAAUAAUAUUUUCCACCACCCAUUUACUGAACUUAACCCUGGCAACCGUAUCACUGACUCAUCCUCAGAGAAGGGGAUGGAAAUAGAUUCCACUGGCACACUUCACUAGUGGCUUUCACUAAAAAUGCAUCAUGAACAAAAAUAAAAUAUUUUGCAGGUAAGCCUAUCUAUCCAAAUAUGAUCAUCUGCUUUAUCAUAUUUAGAUAGAUAGGCUUAACUACAAAACAAAUCUUUCCUUCCGUGUCUUAAGUCUAGGCCCUCACCCUUCAAUGGAAAUGGAUUCCACUGGCACACUUCACUACUGGCUUUCACUAAAAAUGCAUCAUGAACAAAAAUGAAAUGUUUUGUAUAAAUUCAAAAAUGACAAUCUGCUUUAUUAAAUAUGUUUUUUAUAUAAGAAAGUCUCUGAUCCGGUAUAAGCUAGAACACUCCCACUCACGAGUGGGUAUUCCAAGCCAAGGAGACAUUACCCCAGUACUCCUCCCUGCCUUGUUUCUUAUGUAAUUGCUUUGAGAGUGAUGUCUGUACCCACCACAGGAGCUGGAAGAGGCACUGUCACUUUUGCAGACAGUACUAUGUUCUAUGUUUAGCUUAUUAUAAUUUCUACUUGAAAUCCUUCUUCAUCAGUUAUCUUUGCGGUGGAAAUGAUAGGACCAUCGCUGUUCAGCCACAGUCGAGAAGGAGUCAUUAACUUGAUGUCCGUAGCUCAGGUGCAUCUGGAAGCAAGCUUGGAUUCAGUCAUCUUUCUCUCGGAGGCCUGUAAACCAGUGCCUCCCAAACUAUAAUGCACAUAUGGAUCAUUUGGAAUCUUAUUAAAAUGCAGAAUCAGCAAAUUUAGGGUGGCCUGAGCUGCAUUUCUAACAAGCUUCCAAGUGAUUCUAAUACUGCCAGUUGGCUCACCACAAAAAAAGUAGCAAGCUUCUCAAUGGAGUUAAAAAGUUAUCUUCUUUUUGUUUAUUUUUCACAUAAAUGGGCUUUUAAAAAUUCUUAUGUGACAUAAGAUAAAAUGUAGGCAUCUGCCUUAUACAGGUGGGCUAAUGAGAAUGGUAAUAGGGUGUCUCUACAAAUUAGUUGGCAACUCUUCAAGUCCGAUGAGUUACUGUCUGUCUUAUUCAGGGGUUAUAACAUCAAGAUUUAUAACUAACUUAUUUUCUAAACUGGGACAUUCUGAGAACAAAAGAGGGCACUUUUAAUAAUUACGCUGGCACAACACAACAAGCAAUUGAGAGACAUGUUCACCCUACCAAGAGUGACACCAUGCUAAAGAACUCUGAGCAAUUUAAUUCAGCUUUACCAUAUAGAAAUUUAUUUUUUUAAAUGACCUAACUGCUUGUCUUUCACAAUUUUAUAUCCUUAUAAACGUUGCUGCUUUUUUCUCCAUAUAUUUUAAAAAAUUGAUCCUCAAAAAGAAAUUUUUAAAAAUACAUUCCUCCUAUGAUCCCAUUUUUCUAAAACAUAUAUAUAAUAUAAUUUGGUCCAAGCUUUCAUGGAAUUAUUGGCAUGAGAGUAUUCAAUAUUUCUAAUUGAUAAUUAAUUGAAAUGGUAAUUUUCCUUAAGUUUUAGGUUGAAAUUUUUCUACAUUAAGAAAAAAUGUGGCUGACCACAUUGGUUCAUGUCUGUAAUCCGAGACCUUUGGGAGGCCGAGGCAGGCAGAUCAAUUGAGGUCAUGAGUACAAGACCAGCCCGGCCAAUAUGGCAAAACCUUGUCUCAACUAAAAACACAGGAAAAAAAACAAAAAUAGCCAGGCAUGGUGUUGCACACCUGUAAUUUCAGCUACUCAGGAGGCUGAGGCAUUGAGAAUUACUUGAACCCUGGAGGUGGAAGCUGCAGUGAGCCGAGAUUGUGCCAUUGCACUCCAGCCUGGGCCACAGAGCAAGAUUGUCUUAAAAAAAAAAAAAAAAGAAAAAGAAAAACUGUUCAAAUGUGCAUAUUAUCUUUAUGUUCAAGUUAAAAUAUGAUGUGUUUUGAUAUAUGCUUGGCAGGUGUUGUUCACCCUCAGUCCUGGUAAUAAUUAUGUCAGGAUGAUAAUGAAUUGCUGUUGUCUUUUACACGUGCAGGUAGAUGGUGUUCUGGUUAUAUGGUUAGCAUUACUGACACAUUUAAUAUAUUUUAUAGACUGUCAUUGUGUUGUUUUACCCAGAAUGGUUUCACCUUGGGAAUAUCUCUUAACUUCACGGUAAAUAUUGAUUUACAUUCUUCUAAUUUUAAAAGCCUGGCCAUGUAGACAAGCUUUACAUGCUCAUAGUUUGCCUUGUGCACCUUAGAUUUUACUGUAAGUUCACGGUUCUUAAAAAGCCAAUAAAAAGCUUUGUUUAAAAUCAUCUUCAUUUUAUUUCCAGUGAUUUACUUUUAAAUCCUCUGGCUGAAUUUUACGUGUAUGGAAUUGCAUUGCAUCAACUUUAAUAUCACAGUAUAAUGCACAGUUUAAAAUAUCCUCUAAAUCUUAAGAGAAACAAUGGAAGCCAAACUCAAUUACCUGCUGGUGGGUUGUCAGUAUAAAUGAGACAAAGGCUGUUUUCCAGCAUAAUUAACUGGCUUAAAGAUGGCAUACAGUAAUUUGUCAGCUAGAGAUAACCCUUUAUUAACACCUUUUAAAAUAUAGAUUUAAGAUACUGUUGCUUCUUAAGUUGGUAGUUCAAUUUGUUUUCAGAACUGUAUAGUUUUUUUUUAAUUCACAAUGACUGAUUUAAAUAAAGAUUCAUAAGAUACAACUACCCCAAAUAAAAUAUUUCUUCUCACCUUUAAGGGGUUUCUUUUAUAGGCAAGUGAGUAAGUAACACUUUUUAUUAUGCUUUCAAAUUUUCCAUUGUUCCUUAUAAAUUACACACACACACACACACACACACACACACACACACACCAGAAAAAACUGGCAAAGAACAAACAAAAAACCUGAAGUGAUAUUUUGGUAAAAAUUUAAAUUUUUGUCCUUUACAAAGCAAAACUUCUGUAUGUAUGGAUAUAUUAAAUCAUACCCAAAUGUGUUUUUUCACAGUGUAAAAUAAUUUUAAAAUCUGACAAUUUUUUUGGCUUAAGUUUAUAUUCUUCAUUAUGUUUUCAGUUCAUUCUUUGUUUUGAAAUAAAAUCCGACCUACAAUAAAUUUGCAAAAUGUGUUAGAAAGAAUGUCCACAUGCCUAACGCCCAGCUACUUCGAAUGCUAACAUUUUCCAUAAUCACAGUUAACAAAACCAGGAAAUUAACAGUGACAUAAUUCUACCAACUAGUCUACAUGCCUUACUGGAAUUUUAUCAACUGUCCUUCUAAAAUUAUUUUUGUACAUCAGAAUUGAAUCUAGGACACACAUUGCAUAUAGUUGUGUCUCCUUUUAUCUAGGAUAAUUUAUCAGUCUUUGUCUUCCAUGACUCUCCUAUUUUUAAGAGUUCUGAGCAGUUAUUUUUCUAAAAGCCCAUCAUUUGAUCUUUUCUCAUCUAGUCUCAUGACCAAAUUUAGCUUAUGCACUUUUGAAAAGAAUCCAACUAAAGUAAUGUGUCACCUUUCUCAGGCCAUCAUGUCAACAUGAUAUUGACUUCCUUCAUUCUUGGUAUUAAUUUUCAUCACUUUGUAAAAGUGGUGUCAUACAGGUUUCUCCACUAAAAAGUUACAUUAUCCCCUUUGCAAUUAUUAAGGAUGUUCUGGGGAAAUAUUUGAGACUACGUAAAUACUGUCAACCUUAUAUCAUGAGAUUCAGAACUUAUGAUUUAGUACCGAGUUUAUUUGAGUACAAUUUGGGAGUAAGCUUUCAAAAGUGGAGAACUUAAAGCUUCUCUUACAUAAAAGUUUUAGCAAGAUUACAACAUUUUCCAUCCAAGACCAGUGCAAACACCACAGUGAUUUGAUUGGUUAUAGAUAGCUAAUUCCCUGGAAGACUACUUGAUUACUUCAUGAAGAGGAGUGGUGAUCUGAGGGGGUCUUCCCUCUGGCUCUGUUUGUUCUUAACUAUUUACAGGAAAAUAAAUGCAGAAGUUGCAUCUGCAUGCCAUGUGACUCAAGCUGCAUAGCCACAUUUGUCUCAAGGUACAGAAUA
rnacentral:lncRNA from 1 species